UACGGAGGGGGCUAGCGUUGUUCGGAAUUACUGGGCGUAAAGCGCACGUAGGCGGCUUUGUAAGUUAGAGGUGAAAGCCCGGGGCUCAACUCCGGAAUUGCCUUUAAGACUGCAUCGCUAGAAUUGUGGAGAGGUAAGUGGAAUUCCGAGUGUAGAGGUGAAAUUCGUAGAUAUUAGGAAGAACACCAGUGGCGAAGGCGGCUUACUGGUCCGGAACUGACGCUGAGGUGCGAAAGCGUGGGGAGCAAACAGG
rnacentral:rRNA from 1 species